UAAACUGAAGAGUUUGAUCAUGGCUCAGAUUGAACGCUGGCGGCAGGCCUAACACAUGCAAGUCGAGCGCGAAAGUUUCUUCGGAAGCGAGUAGAGCGGCGGACGGGUGAGUAACGCGUAGGAAUCUACCCAGUAGUGGGGGACAACUCGGGGAAACCCGAGCUAAUACCGCAUACGCCCUAAGGGGGAAAGCAGGGGAUCUUCGGACCUUGCGCUAUCGGAUGAGCCUGCGUCGGAUUAGCUUGUUGGUGAGGUAAUGGCUCACCAAGGCGACGAUCCGUAGCUGGUCUGAGAGGAUGAUCAGCCACACUGGGACUGAGACACGGCCCAGACUCCUACGGGAGGCAGCAGUGGGGAAUAU
rnacentral:rRNA from 1 species